UCACACAUGCACACAGCACCAAUCGCACAUAUGACAGCAAGUGUACGAAAUAAGCAAUCGAAAACAAAAUUUGUUAAUAGUUUUAAUAGGGAAAAGUAACACCAAACAAGAAUAAUUAUAAGACGAAAACUAAACCGUGCAUUCAUCUGAAACACAUGCAUAUGUAUGUAAUUGCACAGCCAGUUAGCUUAUCCGUCCGUCUGUGUUCCAGCAUUCGGCAAUGCUAUCUGCAUUUUUUAAAUAUAAACAAUAACAGCAAAAAUGUUUCCAUGUUUGGUUAAAGGCUGCCCAAGUCAUGAGCGUUCAUACCAGGUACCUGUUGGAAAUCGCAAAUUUUGGUUGGCAAACCUGGGAAUUCUUUGGGUGAAUAGCCGCCAUAGGAUCUGUGCAAAGCAUUUCCGAGAGGAAUGCUUUUUGAAUCGUGGAAAGCUUCGAGUAGGAAGUCUACCCACGGAAAAUCUAGGUCGUGAGGCAUUGUAUCAGCCAGAGUUCAGUAGGCAUCAAAAACGAAACAUAGAACAAAUUAAAAUGAUCAAAAGCAAAGAUCCGAUGACUGCUGAUAGCUUGGAAAAAGAGGCCGGAUCCGAAUUGGAAACAUAUUUAAUUGAAGAUCGGCUGUCCGAUGAAGUUGAAGAUCUUGCGUCCGAUAGCAUGGAUGCAGAUACUCCAUCUCAAUCCGAACUUAUUUUGUAUUUGCAACAAAGAAAUAACGAGCUGCAAGCAGAGGCAGAAUGCCUACGCGCAGAAAAUAUUAAGCUAAGAAGGGAAAACACAUCGUUAAAGAGAAGUUUUGAAAUGCAUAAUUGUUUGUUCGAAUAAACACAUGUUAUUACCCAUAUUAUGCAUAUACAAAUAGUUACAGAUGUAUGUUCUAAAUGUUGGUAUUUUAAUGAUGUGGCAUCACUACUUCGGCUCCGAAUCAACUCUGUUCAUUUUGUAAACACACGCACACAGGCUAAGGAAAACAUAAACAUUAAUAUUAAAUAAGGAAAAAAGUGAUAAACUAUUAACUAAGAGUAAGGAAAACCACAACAUAAAUAAUUGUCAAUUGAGUGGCACAGGUUUCUGCAGAAGUUGUGCAUACAUACUUACAUAUGUAUGCAAAUACACAGCCAGUCAGUCGAUCCAUGCGUCUGUGUCCCAUCGUUCGACAAAAGUACCUACAGCCCCGCCCACCGAACUGAGCAAAUGGAUCUUCGCCUCUUUUCGUUAUAAAUAAACAGGAAAUGGAUUCAAAUAAAACACCCGCAGCUUCGCCAGUGAGCAAAGAAAAAUGGCCAUGUUUGGUAAAAGACUGUUCCGGGCAUCCGCGCUCAUACCAGAUCCCGUUAGGAAACAGCAAAUUUUGGUACGCUAAUCUUGGCAUACAAGUAGCGCGAAGGCGCUCUAGGGUCUGCGCAAAACAUUUCCUGGAGGAAUGUUUGUCGCUAAAUCGUCUUCGCAUGGGGAGUGUUCCAACUGAAAAUUUAGGCCGUGAUCCAGUGUAUGUACCUAAAUUUAGCAAACAUCAAAGAAGAAGCAUAAAGAAAGCCAAAACGAAAAUAAAAGAUCCGUCGGAAAGCUUAGAGAAAGUGAACGAAAAAGAUAUACAGAUUGAAGAUCGACUAUCCGCUGAUGGCUGGGAAGAAGAGGAGGAUAUAUCAGAAUUUGACAAUUUUAUCGUUGAAGAUCCACAGUCCGACGGCUCGGAACAAGCCGAAAUGGGUGCCUAUGACAUUGAAGAUCAUUCACAGUCGGAAAUAACAUUACAAUCAAUAAAUUCGUAUUUAAAGCAGAGAAAUAAUGAGCUGCAGGCAGAGGCUGAAUGUCUACGUUUAGAAAAUUCUCAAUUAAGAAUGGAAAACAUUUCCCUAAAACGAAGUUUUGAAAUACAUAAACGUAUGUACGAAUAAAGGAAUAUAUAUAUUUUU